GAAAUGCGAUAAGUAAUGUGAAUUGCAGAAUUUAGUGAAUCAUCGAAUCUUUGAACGCACAUUGCGCCCUUUGGUAUUCCGAAGGGCACACCUGUUCGAGCGCCGUUUAACACCCUAAAGCCUAGCUUUGCGUUGGCGGUGGCCCUUAAGGGGCUCCGCUCAAAUUCAAGGCGCGAUUACGUAAUCGGCAAUGCACACAAGCAUCAGUCCGAUCAUUCGAUUGCUGCCAGUUGAACGACAUUUUGGCCUCGAAUCAGGUGGGGAUACCCGCUGAACUUAA
rnacentral:misc_RNA from 1 species